rnacentral:rRNA from 1 species
UACGGGGGGGGGCAAGCGUUGUUCGGAAUUACUGGGCGUAAAGGGUCUGUAGGUGGCUUGUUAAGUCAGACGUGAAAUCCCUCAGCUUAACUGGGGAACUGCGUCUGAUACUGGCGAGCUUGAGUGCAGGAAAGGAACGCGGAAUUCCAGGUGUAGCGGUGGAAUGCGCAGAUAUCAGGAGGAACACCGGUGGCGAAGGCGGAUCUCUGGGCAACAACUGACGCUGAGUGAGCGAAAGCCAGGGGAGCAAACGGG